AAACUGCGAUAAGUAGUGUGAAUUGCAUUUAGUGAAUCAUCGAAUCUUUGAACGCACCCUGCACUCACUGGUAUUCCGGUGAGUACGCCUGUUUCAGUAUCAUUGAAAACACACAAUCAAAACAUUUUCUUUGGUUUGAUUGGCUUUGGGUCUAUCAAAAAGUUUGGCUUGUUUCUUACAAGCCAAGCGGCCUGAAAUAUAUUGUCUGGCUAUUUGCAUCGUUGAUGAUCGCUAUUAGACUUUGGCUUUUUUAAAUGAACUGGAGGUUGAUUAACCAGUUUUAGCUUUAGUCAAAUGGUCAUUGUAAAAAAAAUCUCGAUCUUGGCUAGGUGUUUAUAGCCGAAAAUUUUUUUUUGGCUAUAACCGAAACCAAUAUAAUCACAUUUAGUUAUCGAUCUGAAAUCAGGUGGGACUACCCGCUGAACUUAAGC
rnacentral:misc_RNA from 1 species